GACGAACGCUGGCGGCGUGCUUAACACAUGCAAGUCGAACGGAAAGGCCCUGCUUUUGUGGGGUGCUCGAGUGGCGAACGGGUGAGUAACACGUGAGUAACCUGCCCUUGACUUUGGGAUAACUUCAGGAAACUGGGGCUAAUACCGGAUAGGAGCUCCUGCUGCAUGGUGGGGGUUGGAAAGUUUCGGCGGUUGGGGAUGGACUCGCGGCUUAUCAGCUUGUUGGUGGGGUAGUGGCUUACCAAGGCUUUGACGGGUAGCCGGCCUGAGAGGGUGACCGGCCACAUUGGGGCUGGGGUACCGGCCAGAAUCCUACGGGAGGGAACAGUGGGGAAUAUUGGAAAAUGGGCGGAAGGCUGAAGGCAGCAAGGCGGGGGCGGGAAGGCGGGCUUCGGGGUGGUAACCGCCUUCGGCCGUGAACAAGCGUGAGGGACGGUAAAGGGUAAAGGAGGAACGGCUAAAUAAGGG
rnacentral:rRNA from 1 species